UUUCUCUAAUGGACCAGCAGCGCCUCGAGCGGGAUUUUUCCCAACUAAAGUUUCCGGUUUUUGAUUGGACGCGCGCUACCAACUGGUCGCAACCUUCGGCUGACUUGGCACAUUCGGCAGUGGAUCGGCAGCGCCGAUUUAGUGACAGAUUACGACCGUACAGUAUGGAGGGGUUAGUACAGGACUUCAACACUGCACUGGAUGAAACCGCCGGUUCCAACAGUAGUGGACGGUCUACAGGAAGAAGAAAGACCUGGAAGCGAAGAUGUAAAUCGACCAGUAAUCUUCUUCAACUUAGGAACAAGAUUAUAAAUUUUCGUAAAGAGGGCAAGUUCAAUUCACAAAGAAUUUUGUAAGUUUAGUGAAGACAGUUCUUCAAGUUUGG